UCCCGCCCCCAAAAAAAAAAAAUUACUAAUUUUUACAAUGAUCAAUAUGUUUAUGUGUUAUAAAAAAAUACAAUAUAUAAUAAUUUCCAAAAUUAAAAGUUCACAUGAAUAAAGUUAAUCUCUCGACACUCUAGUAACCAUUUUAAAACAAACGUAUCAACGCUGUAAAACCGAAAGUCUGGCAUCUCGGACUCCUCCCUCGGAUGACCUUAUGCACGCAUUACUUUCACACAACACUUACAGUGAUACACA
rnacentral:lncRNA from 1 species